rnacentral:tRNA from 2 species
UGGGGUAUAGCCAAGUGGUAAGGCAGCGGGUUUUGAUCCCGCGAUUCCCAGGUUCGAAUCCUGGUACCCCAGCCA